UAUUUUUAGUAAAGUGGCGCACGGGUGCGUAACACGUAAGCAAUCUACCUUUGGGUCUGGAAUAACUUCGAGAAAUCGAGGCUAAUACCGGAUAAUGCAGCGGCACCGCAUGGUGAUGUUGUUAAAGUUUGAGUAAUGCCUAUAGAUGAGCUUGCGUCUGAUUAGCUAGUUGGUAGGGUAAAGGCCUACCAAGGCUACGAUCAGUAGCUGGUCUGAGAGGAUGAUCAGCCACACUGGAACUGAGACACGGUCCAGACUCC
rnacentral:rRNA from 1 species